GGAAUUCAUAGUCAAAUGGCUAAACAGAUAAUAAACAUACAAUUACAAUACAGGGUGAUAAAGUGAUAGUUUUUGGUACAGAAUGCUGGAGAAGGGUCUCAAAGGGACGCUUACUCAUGAGGUGGGUGGGACGGUGUUGUAAGACCUCCUGAAUGUGAUGAUGUCCAAAUGCAGGACAGCUUUAUGAGGGUAGGGUGCUAUGGAGCGUAUACUUCUCUAGAUAUUUAUAAGUGCUUGUAUUUGUAUGAAAUAAAAGCAAGAAGCCAUGCUAACAACAAAGUGACACCAAAUAUUGCCGUGGCUGACACCAGAGCCUCAACCCUUGGCUCUGUUUCAGGAGCUCCAGUAAUCAAAAGAUAAGUAUGCUGAAUGAGGCUUUGGGGAGGUCUGAGGAGGAAGGAAGACAACAUUCUCAAGUUUGCAAGUGACCCAAACUGCCUGAGAAAUUUGGGGAGCACCAUGAAGUAUGAUCAGCACAGCCUAAAAGAUGUACAAAUAUUUGAAUAAUGGUUCAGCAGUCUUCCCUUUGAGGAGCCGAGAGCACUUGUGCCAGAAAAGACUCUGCUUUUACAGAUGGCCAGCCUGAGGCUAGGAUAGCCAUUUCCCCAAAUAGGGAGCAGACCAGGACUUGCAGAAACAAAACAGAUCACGCCAUUGCUGGCUUGUCUCUUUGUUCUGGUGUCGAGAUCAGGCCCCUCCCUCCACCACUGAAGAGACGGAGAGGAAAGCUAAAAAUGGCUCUGUUCAGGGGGUCACAGAAUUUGGAGUCAGCUUUGUGCCUCGGGCCGUGGUCGCGCGCCCACUGUGUUCCUCGGGAGACGCCACACGCGGUUGCAGGCGGGCGCGGGCGGGGCGCUCAGCAUGGCAAGUCUGCACGUGUAUCCAAGUUGCCGCGACUCAGCGAUGAUUUUCUGGCAGAUCUGAGCCAGGAGAGGGUUAAGAUCAAGUUAGAGGAGGUGUUUCAUAACCAGAGGUGAGUUGGGAAUUGUCUGUUCUUUGUGAAGAAUCUGUGCCCCUACUUCCCCCUCAACAAUUAAUGUAACAGUCGAGUUGUCAUUGCCGUGAGAGUCAAGGCAACGUGCCCCCCUCCUCCCUGAUUUGAGUCCCGAAUGCCUUGCCAGAAGAAUCUGACAGGCUGAAUGGGAGAGAAGAAUGUUGUCAGGGGCGCAGGAGAAAGGCGAGAGAGGUUUCAUUUAACAUCACCUUAUGGAAUCUGUUAAUCAUGCCUUAUUAAGUAGAGAGGAAACAGGUAGGGAAGGAAUUUUCAAGGGGCCUGAGAAGAAAAGGAUCUAAAAUGUCCUAACUUAAAAUCCUACAAACGUUUAAGAAAACGCUGCUACAGCAUGGCUUGAUGAGUGGUAUGCAGUUCUGUGCCCAGGAUCCAAACCCAGGAACACCAGGCCACCGAAGUGGAGUGUGCAAACUUAACCACUAUGCCACCAGGCCGGCCCCCAUGAAGAACUCUUUAACACACCUUUGGGCAUUCUUGUUGGGCUUUCUCUAUCUCUCAAAGACCUAAGGUCCAGAGUAUAUUUUGGGAAGGCUUGCUUUAUACUCAG
rnacentral:lncRNA from 1 species